rnacentral:rRNA from 1 species
UACGUAGGGUGCGAGCGUUAAUCGGAAUUACUGGGCGUAAAGGGUGCGCAGGCGGUUUUUUAAGUCAGAUGUGAAAUUCCUGGGCUUAACCUAGGGACUGCAUUUGAGACUGGAAGGCUAGAGUGUGUCAGAGGGGGGUGGAAUUCCACGUGUAGCAGUGAAAUGCGUAGAGAUGUGGAGGAACACCGAUGGCGAAGGCAGCCCCCUGGGAUAACACUGACGCUCAGGCACGAAAGCGUGGGGAGCAAACAGG